rnacentral:rRNA from 1 species
UACGGAGGGUGCGAGCGUUGUCCGGAAUCACUGGGCGUAAAGGGUGCGUAGGCGGUCUAUUAAGUCAGUGGUGAAAUACUCCAGCUUAACUGGAGGGGUGCCAUUGAUACUGAUGGACUUGAGUCAAGUCGAGGUAGGCGGAAUUGACGGUGUAGCGGUGAAAUGCUUAGAUAUCGUCAAGAACACCAAUAGUGAAGACAGCUUACUGGGCUUAAACUGACGCUGAGGCACGGAAGUGUGGGGAUCAAACAGG